GCUAUAACACACCAGAUGAAUUAUGGGUAUGGUAGUUCCAAAAGCUAAUGUUAAACAGAUAUGUGGACAGAUUUGCCGUGAACCAAUUGCACCUUUGGAUUGGUAGUUGCAUAAGGGAACAGGAAGUUACGCGAUGCUCAAUAACAGCGUGCGCUGAGGAGAACUUAAGCUCAUGUGAAAAGCAUCCUGUAUGAAUACGGAACACCUGAGCGAACAAAGUGCGAUUGGAUAAUGAGGGAAAUAGGCUGGCAAUUUGAAUGAAC